AGACAAACCUGCCUGUGAUGUCAGAUCUUAUAAAAGCGUACAAGACUGUCGAUGACAAUCAUAUGCAAACGGUUUAAUACAACGAACUGUGCUUCGCUGCUUUGUGCUCUGUACUUUGAUGACAACUGAAGUAACCUCUGACAAGGUAAAAAUGACAUCAUUGUCGAUCAGCUCUUGCCUGAAUAAGGCUGUGCGAGAACAUUACAUGAGGCUUCCACAAGGAGACAAAUGUCAGGUGACUUACAUCUGGAUUGACGGAACUGGAGAGGGGCUACGCAACAAAACCCUAACCCUGGAUGCUCAACCCAAAAGUAUACAAGAUAUUCCUAAAUGGAACUUUGAUGGGUCAAGCACAUACCAGUCUGAAGGCUCCAACAGCGACAUGUACCUCAUCCCAGUGUGCAUGUUCAGAGAUCCAUUCACGCUUGACCCCAACAAAUUGGUCCUCUGCGAAGUUUAUAAGUACAACGGCCUUCCUGCAGAAACAAACCAUCGAGUAAGCUGCAAGAAAGUCAUGGACCAGAUUAAAGAGCACCAGAUAUGGAUUGGUAUUGAGCAGGAAUAUACACUCUUUGGUACCAAUGGUCAUCCAUUUGGAUGGCCUCAAAAUGGAUUCCCUGCACCCCAAGGUCCCUACUACUGUGGAGUGGGCGCAGACAGAGCUCUUGGACGGGAUAUUGCAGAGUGUCACUACAAGGCAUGUCUCUAUGCUGGGAUCAAGAUCUAUGGAACAAAUGCUGAGGUUUUGCCAUCACAGUGGGAGUUCCAGAUAGGCACCUGCGAAGGUAUUGAGAUUGGUGAUCAACUGUGGGUUGCACGCUUCUUGUUGCACCGCGUAUGUGAAGAUUUUGGGGUUGUUGCAACACUGGACCCCAAACCAGUAAAGGGAAACUGGAAUGGCUCUGGUGGCCAUACUAAUGUCAGCACCAAGAAGAUGAGGGAAGAAGGAGGAUUGCAAUACAUUGAGCAGGCCAUUGAGAGGCUGCGCAAAAGACACAUGGAGCAUAUUAAAGUGUACGACCCACGCGGUGGCCAGGACAACAUGAGACGUCUCACAGGAAAUCAUGAAACGUCCAGCGUUAAUGAAUUCUCUGCUGGAAUUGCAAACAGAGGUGCCAGCAUCCGCAUUCCCCGUCAGGUAGGUCAAGAGAAGAAAGGUUACUUUGAGGACCGCCGCCCUGCAGCCAACUGUGACCCGUACCUUGUGAUCAAGGCCAUCGCAAGCACUUGCCUGCUUGACAAUGAUGAUGAUCAUUGAUGUGAAGGGCACGUAAAUAAGACUACAAGACAGAGUUCAUUGUGUCUGCUUGUAGCAUUGUUAAAAAUAUCUUGGUUUUUGAGCAUACUGAUGAUGAUGUGAAGAGCAUUGUUUAAAAAUCUACUAGUUUUGAGUCAAAAAUGUGUUCGUCCUGUCACAGAAUCGUCAUUUAAGGUAAUUUCUUCCUGUCUGCGCUUAAGUCAAUUCCUCACUGUCAAACACGGCCAAAUAGUAACAGGCAGGUGCACCAUUUAUGAAUAUUGAGUCCUUGGGAGGAGGGGUAGAACCAGUGUGUCAAGUAUUUUGCAUGUUGCAUAUUCAACUUGUUUAUUCACAUUUACUUGUAUCAACUGGUCCAUUUGGACCAUUUGUAUUUACAAAUGAAUGCAAACAUGAACAACAUGCGGUCACCAUUGCGUAAGCAUGAGAUGCAAAUGAUUGAGUCCACAGCCUGGGGACUAAAGCCAAACAGGCUUUUGUGGAAGGCAAAGUUUUUCCGUCUUGCUGGUUAUUUUGCAGCCAAUUUUGUCCUGAUGGCCUUUCAUUGCGAAUGGUUCGGACAACAUAAUGCAGACGUGAGAUACUAUGUUUCGUAAAAGAGAAAAUAUAAAAUAUUAUUCUUUCCGGUGAAAUGUGCAUGCUGUGCCUCUUCUAGACUUCUUUGUUCAACCAAAUGCAGUGUACGGUGAUUUAUUUAUUUUUUUGCUGGAGAAAUAGAAAAUAACAUGUCAAAGGGAAAUCAAUGUAUACAAAUUAGGCAGGUUUAGCAAGUGUCAAUGUAUGAUGGCUACCGUUGGAGUCACCCAAUUAUUGUGUGUACCGUUUAUUGAUGACUUGCAUCUGAGCGAUUAGCCUCAACAUCAUAUUCUAAUCAGUAAAUGAAUAGUUUUUUUUAUUUUUGUAGCUUCCUUGCGUGGAUGGGUUUUAAGUAUUAAAGAUCAUUUAUGGAGAUUAAA